UACGGAGGGAGAAAGCGCUAUCCGGCAUCACUGGGUUUAAAGGGUGCAUCGGCGGCUUGAUAAGUCAGGGGUGAAAGCCCGCAGCUUAACUGCGGAACUGCCUUUGAUACUGUCGAGCUUGAAAGAGGUUGAGGUCAGCGGAACGUGACAUGUAGCGGUGAAAUGCAUAGAUAUGUCACAGAACACCGAUUGCGAAGGCAGCUGGCUGGACCUACUUUGACGCUGAGGCACGAAAGCGUGGGGAGCUAACAGG
rnacentral:rRNA from 1 species